CCUACGGGAGGCAGCAGUCGGGAAUAUUGCGCAAUGGAGGAAACUCUGACGCAGUGACGCCGCGUGCAGGAAGAAGGUUUUCGGAUCGUAAACCUCUGUCAGCAGGGAAGAACGGUCACUGUGCUAAUCAGCAGUGAAUUGACGGUACCUGCAAAGGAAGCACCGGCUAACUCCGUGCCAGCAGCCGCGGUAAUACGGAGGGUGCGAGCGUGAAUCGGAAUUACUGGGCGUAAAGCGCUCGUAGGCGGUAUGUCAAGUCAAGGGUGAAAUCCCCGCGCUCAACGUGGGAACUGCCUUUGAAACUGGCAAACUGGAGUGUGUGAGAGGAUAGUGGAAUUCCAGGUGUAGGAGUGAAAUCCGUAGAUAUCUGGAGGAACAUCAGUGGCGAAGGCGACUAUCUGGCACAUAACUGACGCUGAGGAGCGAAAGCGUGGGUAGCAAACAGGAUUAGAUACCCGUGUAGUC
rnacentral:rRNA from 1 species